rnacentral:rRNA from 1 species
AACAAGGUCUCCGUUGGUGAACCAGCGGAGGGAUCAUUAUCGAGUUAUUCAACUCCCAAACCCUAUGUGAACUUACCACUUGUUGCUUCGGCGCGCGCUUCGGCGCCGCCGAGGACACUUAAACUCUUUGUUUUUAUAAGCAUUUCUGAGUGGCCGAAAGGCAAAAAUACAAAUGAAUCAAAACUUUCAACAACGGAUCUCUUGGUUCUGGCAUCGAUGAAGAACGCAGCGAAAUGCGAUAAGUAAUGUGAAUUGCAGAAUUCAGUGAAUCAUCGAAUCUUUGAACGCACAUUGCGCCCGCCAGCAUUCUGGCGGGCAUGCCUGUUCGAGCGUCAUUUCAACCCUCGAGCCCGACUCUUUUGAGGACGGCUCGGCGUGGGGGGACGGCAGACUCCCCCCGGCAUCUCGCCGGGGACGCCGCCCCCGAAAUCUAGUGGCGGCCCUCCGAGGCGACCUCUGCGUAGUAACUUGUUCUCGCACCGGAAAGCUCAGAGCGGCCACGCCGUAAAACCCCAACUUUUUUCAGGUUGACCUCGAAUCAGGUAGGACUACCCGCUGAACUUAAGCAUAUCAAUA